rnacentral:lncRNA from 1 species
GGUGGGGUAUGGUCGAAAUAUACGGUUUUCCCAUAUAGGAUCAGACCAGUGGGCUAAUGGUUUUGGAAUCCUCCCUCUGGCGGUGGCCAUUACCUGAUGCUUCAGAAGCCAGGAAUGAAUUUGCACGACCCCAGCCCUUCAGAUGUCCCCUGUGGAAAAAUAGGAAAUUGGCAAGGAGGAUCAUUUCACGGAUGUGCUGAAGUUGUCAUUCCUAGAAAAUCUCUGACUUCAGCUCUGUGCCUGAUGACAUUUGGAAAACAAUUCUCUCUGGAGAACCAACUUCCCCGAUUCCUGACCACUCCAUGGCACUUGAAGUCAAGAUGAAAAUUAGACUCCCUUCAGAAUCUCCAGACUCAGAAAAGGCUUAGACCCAUCCUGAAAAAAUGAGGUGAACUGGACAGCACUGACAAAGUCAAAUCAGCUCAUCCAUCUCACAACUCAUGCAAGAACUCUAAUAGUACCAACAGGAGUGUCCUGGGGUCAUGAUGGACAGAUGGAGCUGCACCCCUUGUCUGGUGGAUUUCUCCUUGGCAGCCAUGGAGGCAGAUCUUAGAAAAGAAAACUGGAGCAGCAUAAUGAACCGGAAGGCGCAACAGGCUCAUCUCUAAAUCACACUCAUCCAGAGAAAGCUCUAAGCAGUGAGAUUUGCAAACUUUUAAGGUGUCCACUCUCAGAUGAUGAGGGUUCUAAAACAAGCCAAGUGCUAGAAACUCAGACAUAGAGAACCAGCUUGAUGUGGUUAAAAUUACAUCAUUUCCGGAACUUCAUCUCUAGUAUCUUUAGUAUAUAAUAUCUAAAACCCAGAGCACUAAAAUCAUAAUGCCAGUUGGUAGAAAAGUUAACAAUAAAAAUAUAAGAAAAUGAUAAUAAUACA